rnacentral:miRNA from 1 species
UGGGUGAGGAGGGAGAGG